AGCGUAGACGGAGCAGCAAGUCUGAUGUGAAAGGCGGGGGCUCAACCCCUGGACUGCAUUGGAAACUGUUGAUCUUGAGUACCGGAGAGGUAAGCGGAAUUCCUAGUGUAGCGGUGAAAUGCGUAGAUAUUAGGAGGAACACCAGUGGCGAAGGCGGCUUACUGGACGGUAACUGACGUUGAGGCUCGAAGGCGUGGGGAGCAAACA
rnacentral:rRNA from 1 species